rnacentral:rRNA from 1 species
AGAGCGAACGCUGGCGGCAGGCUUAACACAUGCAAGUCGAACGCGUGUAGCAAUACACGAGUGGCGCACGGGUGAGUAACGCGUGGAUAUCUGCCUUUUGGUUCGGAAUAACCCCGGGAAACUGGGGCUAAUACCGGAUGGUUCCUUCGGGAUAAAGAUUUAUCGCCAAAAGAUGAGUCCGCGUACGAUUAGCUAGUUGGUGAGGUAAUGGCUCACCAAGGCGACGAUCGUUAGCUGGUCUGAGAGGACGAUCAGCCACACUGGGACUGAGACACGGCCCAGACUCCUACGGGAGGCAGCAGUGGGAAUAUUGGACAAUGGGGGCAACCCUGAUCCAGCCAUGCCGCGUGAGUGAUGAAGGCCUUCGGGUUGUAAAGCUCUUUUGGCGGGGACGAUGAUGACGGUACCGCAGAAUAAGCCCGGCUAACUCGCGCCAGCAGCCGC